GAUGAAGAACGCAGCGAAAUGCGAUAAGUAGUGUGAAUUGCAGAAUUCAGUGAAUCAUCGAAUCUUUGAACGCACAUUGCGCCCCUCGGUAUUCCGUGGGGCAUGCCUGUUCGAGCGUCAUUUACCCCUCAAGCACUGCUUGGUGUUGGGCGUCUGUCCCGCUUCGCGCGCGGACUCGCCCCAAAGGUAUUGGCAGCGGUCGUGCCAGCUUCUCGCGCAGCACAUUGCGCUUCUCGAGGCGGUCGAUCGGCGUCCACGAAGCUCACCUCCACCGUUUGACCUCGGGUCAGGUAGGGAUACCCGCUGAACUUAAGCAUAUCAAUAAGCGGAGGA
rnacentral:misc_RNA from 1 species